rnacentral:lncRNA from 1 species
UUCAUAGUUACGAAUGCCUUGUCGAUGCUUAUGAUUUCCAAAGAACGUAAUGAUUCUAACUUGUGUCUUUAUCACGCUGUUCAUAUAAAGAACUUGUUGGGAAUAAUUUGUUUGCGAUGCAUAUUCAUCCAAUUCAAUGAUUCUAGGGAAAUCUGAAGGUUAAUUUAAGCGGACCUAAUUAACUUGGAGUGUCGAGAUUCAUAACUUAUUAAAUUGAUAACUAAAAAUUGAUUUAGGUUGCAUAUAUUUCAUGUGUGGAGAAGAACCCCUUAGCCAUUCCAUCAUCCAUUGAUUAUUCAUAACUUUGUGUUACAAUCUGUUUCUAUUACAAUCUGUUUUCCUUGCAAUCUGUCCAUUUAGUUCAUUUUCGUCCAAAUCAAUUCCCCAUUUAUUUUGAAGUCCUAGAUUAGUUAGAAAGUGUGUUGGUUUAUGUUUUAAGUGUUUUGGUACAAGUUAAAACCCAAAUUCGUCCAAAUUGGUGCUUUGUGUUCAAAACUGCCCAGAAAGUGUUUUUAAGGCAGUUUUGAGUCUUUUAGUUGCUGUUUUGAGUUAUUGGUUUAUUUUAGUAUUUUAAACGUGAGUUUUGCAUUCUUUGAGUCUAAUCUAGUGUUUUAAACUUUGUUUUUACAUUUCUAAGUCAGUUUUCAAGUGUUUAGCAAUCCCUCCUAAUCCCUGGUUUAGAACGAUCCCUACUUACAUACUUUGCUACAAUUGAUAAAAAGAGGGUUUAAUUUUGUGUGUUAACUUAUUUUUCACAUCAUUAUGUAUUGGACAUAUUCUACUAACAUCAAAGUGAAUUGAUUGUGACUAUUUCUUCUUUUUCAAAGAAUUAAGAUUCGAACAUUUUUCCUUAAUACAAGUUUAACAAGAAGGCAUUGGAUCCGAAUCUAACGAUCUCAAGCGUCCAUAUAAGGGCAAUUUGUAAUUUAUGUUUCGAGGUGUCACAUUUUAGUAGGGCUAAUCACUUAUUUGUAACCUUUUUGGUUUUAUGCAUCGUUCUGCUCUAAAGAGUUAACACUACCACAUUACCUCUAUUGAUAUAAAGACAGUCAAUCGGAAUCCAUUCACUCAUGGAUAAACAAACAAUGAAUUUGUCAAACAAAAACAGUUUAUCCAUCUCUUAAAAUUAUAGAGAUGGAAUCAAUCUCUUUACUCAAAUUGGAAUGUAAAGACAAUCUUUUCAUUUCCAAUUUAUUUGGUAGUCUAGAUGAGGAAGUAAGUGUCAUUUGCUUUCACAAAUAUCUUGAUCUUUUUGCACAUUUCAAAUGUGAAGCACUUUCUCUUCUCGCAUUAAUCUUCCAUUUCUUACUAGUUACUCUUUUAUAGCGAUCACAAACAUAGUUACUAGUACAUAAUCAAACAUUCAAGUACAAGAACCAACUAUUUGGAAGUAUUUCAAGAACAACUUAUAACACCUUUCGUAGGGUGUGUACUUGACACUAGCAAGAUAAGGCUUGCACUUACCCCUUCCAACAUCCAUCCUUUCAUAAAGAAAGUAUGUUCCCUUUUGGAGUUAUUUUGCCUUCUUCAUUUGACUUCUCCUAUGACUACAAUAGUCAUGGUCCCCAAACUCCUACUAUCUCUAUUGAAACAAAUUUCAAUUGUAUUAUACACAUCAAACAAUUUGGAGAAAGUGUGGUAACUGUUCACUAUGUAGUUUACAAUAAACUUAGUGAACAGUUAUGGAUAGGGACACAAGGGUGAAGUCAAGGUAGUUUCCAUCUAGUGAAGUGGUCCAACACUUCAACACCUGAUGGUUCAAAAUCAUUAUUAGUCCAUAUUGUAGGACUAAUGUCCCCAAUAACCAUCUUGAUCUAAACAAGAUUAUAAACUCAAGAGUUGUUCAAAGCAACCAUUCUUCCUUCAUACAAUCACUUGUAAGUGAAGAAUCGUGUUACAUAAAAUGUCCAUGUCUGAAGGAAAAAUUUUGUCCUAGCUAAGAACAAGUAAGAACAUUUGAAUACAUAUGCAAACUAUUAACACAU